AGGCUCACAGGUGUAGGAGCUGGCAUUCCAGAGGAGGAACAGGGAUGUGGGUAUUCAGCUCAGAAUCUUCAGUCUGUGUCUUCAUGAGUAUUUUAAGUUGGAGCAGGAAGGUGUUUUGAGGAAGUGGCUGCUCUACCUUGAUGCAAUAUUGAACCAUAGUGCCAGCAGGGACCAUCAGCAAAUUCUAGUCCACCUAGAUGCCAGUAACCACCAAAUCUUACCAGGCUUAGAUUACUAGGAGAGAGAAUGGGGAGGUACCCAUAGUUUUGUGAAGAGAAAGGUAUGAGCAGUGAUCUGGAAGCUGGAGAACAGGGACUUUGACAAUGGAUGUGAAUGUUAACUAAAGUCCUGUUUUCAGUGGCAGUACAGAAGAUUUUGGACUCCUGCUACAGAUUGUCUCUGCUCCUUUCAGAAUACUUGUGCUAAACUUGAAGAAACUGUGCCCUAAUCCAGUGAAAACAGAAUGUCCUCAGCUGCUUUAUGGAUCUUUUAGCCCACAGCUAAUUUUUCAUUAAAGGACAUCUGCAAGAAAAGGAUGUGAAUAUGUGAGUGAAGAGCAUUUCCUAAAUUACUGCAGAAUGCUUUGUGUCCUGGGUGUCCUGGGAACACAUGUUUCUAAAUCUAUCUCUUUCACAAAGUCAUAUAAUGGUUAAUAAAUACAGAGUGCAGAAAAUGUCCAGAACCCCUUGUUCUUUGCUGUUCAUCUUCUUCCUUGCUUUAAGUUCUUUAUGCAUUCUCUCACUAGUCUGUAUCUAAAAAUGACUGCUUUCAAAACUUCUGUAAACAAAAGACUACAAACAUAUACUCUCACUUGCUAUGUAGGUAUUUAAUGCUGUUACUCUCUUCUAAGUCAGACAAUGGGACAAGUGCUUUCCAGCUUAAAUAUAGUAUUCAUGAUUGAUGAAUGCAUUGCCGGUGCCUCUUAAAGUCAAGUCAUAAUGUCAUGGCAAUUUUGUCACAAACCGGUGUGGCUCAGUUGUAAGAAAACCUUUGACUGUGGAAAGCUGCUGUGCGGGUUUAAACCAGGCUUGUACACAGCUUAAAGGGGAUAGUCCAGUAAUAAAGCAAUGUAGUCAUCAUUCUAGGAGAUGUGCCCCAAAACAGGACAAUAUCUCAAAUAAUGGGCUAUGCUUGUUGCUUGCUUUCCACUUUGGAAUCAGCAUGGAGAUAUGUAGCAAUACUAGUUUAGCUGUAUUUAAAUAUACAUACAGCAGAAAAACAAGAAGCAAUUUUCCUGACAUAAAUGAAGUCCUUUCAGAGCUGUGGAAUACCUAUUGCUCGUCUUACCUUUUGCUGCACUCGGGUGGAACAAAAAAAGAUUUUACUAGGUACCCUAUUGCAUUAAUUUGAUAAACAGACAAACCUGAACAACACAGAAAAAACCCAGCCCUUAGAUGAUUUAACAGAUAAAUCUCAUUAAAUGAUAAGAAUAGGCUAUCUUA